ACGGACGCUGGCGGCAGGCUUAACACAUGCAAGUCGAGCGCCCCGCAAGGGGAGCGGCAGACGGGUGAGUAACGCGUGGGAAUCUACCCUUUACUACGGAAUAACGCAUGGAAACGUGUGCUAAUACCGUAUGUGUCCUUCGGGAGAAAGAUUUAUCGGUAAAGGAUGAGCCCGCGUUGGAUUAGCUAGUUGGUGGGGUAAAGGCCUACCAAGGCGACGAUCCAUAGCUGGUCUGAGAGGAUGAUCAGCCACAUUGGGACUGAGACACGGCCCAAACUCCUACGGGAGGCAGCAGUGGGGAAUAUUGGACAAUGGGCGCAAGCCUGAUCCAGCCAUGCCGCGUGAGUGAUGAAGGCCCUAGGGUUGUAAAGCUCUUUCACCGGAGAAUAUAAUGACGGUAUCCGGAGAAGAAGCCCCGGCUAACUUCGU
rnacentral:rRNA from 1 species